rnacentral:rRNA from 1 species
CAGUAGCCGCGGUAAUACGAAGGGGGCUAGCGUUGUUCGGAAUUACUGGGCGUAAAGCGCACGUAGGCGGAUAUUUAAGUCAGGGGUGAAAUCCCAGAGCUCAACUCUGGAACUGCCUUUGAUACUGGGUAUCUUGAGUAUGGAAGAGGUGAGUGGAAUUCCGAGUGUAGAGGUGAAAUUCGUAGAUAUUCGGAGGAACACCAGUGGCGAAGGCGGCUCACUGGUCCAUUACUGACGCUGAGGUGCGAAAGCGUGGGGAGCAAACAGGAUUAGAUACCCCUGUAGUCCCUGUCUCUUAUAA